rnacentral:lncRNA from 1 species
UGGUGGUGGAGGUGGUGCUCCAUACAUUGGAGGGGGUGGAGGAGGUGGUCCUCUCCCACCAGGAGGUGGUGGUGGUGGAGGUGGGAGAAGUGGGGCUCGACCACCAGGAGGAGGUGGGGCUCCAUACAUUGGAGGAGGUGGAGGAGGUGGUCCUCUCCCACUAGGAGGUGGUGGUGGUGGAGGUGGUGCUCCAUACAUUGGAGGAGGUGGGGGAGGUGGAGCUCCACUUGAUGGACGAAGGGGUGGUGGAGGUGGAGGUGGGGCUCCACUUGAUGGAGGAAGAGGUGGCGGUGGGGGAGGGGGGGCUCUAGACAAUGGAGGAGGUG